rnacentral:rRNA from 1 species
UACGUAGGGUGCGAGCGUUGUCCGGAAUUACUGGGCGUAAAGAGCUCGUAGGCGGCUUGUCGCGUUGUCCGUGAAAAUUUACCGCUCAACGGUGAACUUGCGGGCGAUACGGGCAGGCUAGAGUACUGCAGGGGAGACUGGAAUUCCUGGUGUAGCGGUGAAAUGCGCAGAUAUCAGGAGGAACACCGGUGGCGAAGGCGGCUCACUGGGUCUUUUCUGACGCCGAGGGACGAAAGCUAGGGGAGCGAACGGG